rnacentral:rRNA from 1 species
UACGGGGGGGGCAAGCGUUGUUCGGAAUUACUGGGCGUAAAGCGAACGUAGGCGGUGUUCCAUGUCAGAGGUGAAAGCCUGGGGCUCAACUCCAGAAUUGCCUUUGAAACGGGAACGCUUGAGUCCGAGAGAGGAUGGCGGAAUUCCUAGUGUAGAGGUGAAAUUCGUAGAUAUUAGGAAGAACACCGGUGGCGAAGGCGGCCAUCUGGCUCGGUACUGACGCUCAGGUUCGAAAGCGUGGGGAGCAAACAGG